GUCUAUGGCCAUACCACCCUGAAUGCGCCUGAUCUUGCCUGAUCUCAGAAGGGAAGCAGGGUUGGGCCUGGUUAGUAGUUGGAUGGGAGA
rnacentral:rRNA from 1 species